rnacentral:rRNA from 1 species
GUGUCAGCAGCCGCGGUAAUACGUAGGUGGCAAGCGUUGUCCGGAUUUAUUGGGCGUAAAGAGCGCGCAGGCGGUUCGUUAAGUGCGAGGUGAAAUCUCCCGGCUCAACUGGGAGGGGUCUUCGCAUACUGGCGGGCUUGAGGAGAGCAGAGGUGAGCGGAAUUCUCGGUGUAGUGGUGAAAUGCGUAGAUAUCGAGAGGAACACCGGUGGCGAAGGCGGCUCACUGGGCUCCACCUGACGCUGAGGCGCGAAAGCGUGGGGAGCGAACCGGAUUAGAAACCCCCGUAGUCC